CGUUCCCAUGCCGAACACGGAAGUUAAGCUCUUUAGCGCCGAUGGUAGUUGGGGGUUUCCCCCUGUGAGAGUAGGACGUUGCCAGGC
rnacentral:rRNA from 1 species